AGCGAACGCUGGCGGCAGGCCUAACACAUGCAAGUCGAGCGCCCAGCAAUGGGAGCGGCAGACGGGAUAGUAACACGUGGGAACGUACCUUUCAGUUCGGAACAACCAAGGGAAACUUUGGCUAAUACCGAGUACGCCCGUAAGGGGAAAGAUUUAUCGCUGAAAGAUCGGCCCGCGUCUGAUUAGCUAGUUGGUGAGGUAAUGGCUCACCAAGGCGACGAUCAGUAGCUGGUCUGAGAGGAUGAUCAGCAUCACUGGGACUGAGACACGGCCCAGACUCCUACGGGAGGCAGCAGUGGGGAAUAUUGGACAAUGGGCGCAAGCCUGAUCCAGCCAUGCCGCGUGAGUGAUGAAGGCCUUAGGGUUGUAAAGCUCUUUCGUCAGGGAAGAUAAUGACGGUACCUGAAGAAGAAGCCCCGGCUAACUUCGUGCCAGCCGCCGCUGUAACAC
rnacentral:rRNA from 1 species